AGUGGGUGUGUGUGUGUGUGGUGGGUGUGUUUGUGUGUGUGUGUGUGUGUAUGUUCCUGUAGUGUAAAAUACUUCGAAUUUCUAGAAGUAAGAUGGAAUACUAAUUUUUUUUUUUUUUUUGCUUAUCACUGU